rnacentral:rRNA from 1 species
GAUGAACGCUGGCGGCGUGCUUAACACAUGCAAGUCGAACGAUGAAAGCGGGAGCUUGCUCCUGCUGGAUUAGUGGCGAACGGGUGAGUAACACGUGAGUAACCCGCCCUUGACUCUGGGAUAAGCGUUGGAAACGACGUCUAAUACCGGAUACGACCUUCGGAGGCAUCUCCUGGGGGUGGGAAAUAAUUUCGGUCAAGGAUGGACUCGCGGCCUAUCAGCUAGUUGGUGAGGUAAUGGCUCACCAAGGCGACGACGGGUAGCCGGCCUGAGAGGGUGACCGGCCACACUGGGACUGAGACACGGCCCAGACUCCUACGGGAGGCAGCAGUGGGGAAUAUUGCACAAUGGGCGCAAGCCUGAUGCAGCAACGCCGCGUGAGGGACGACGGCCUUCGGGUUGUAACCGUACUUUA